AUGUUGCAUCUAUUGUCAUGGCUGCAGAUAAGUGAGGCCGAGGAAGCCAGCAUUAGAGCACCUGUGACACAGCCUGAUGUUCAGAGUGUUAAGAUGACCUUGUCUUCUAUCACGGAUGGCACUGAAUUAGAGAAUGUUCUGGACAAAUCAAGCAGUGCAGCAGCAAACACAGUAAAGAAGAAAGGCCAGAAAAAUAAUAACCAUCCAGGAAAUUGCAUUGAAAAGGGUCUGACAAAGAAGCAGAAACUGCACUCCAAAGAACCUACGGUGCAAUAUGGUUCGAUAGAUGAUUCUGUCAAGUCUGGAAAUGCUAUGUUUCAGGGCUUGGAGGCUCCUCCAAACAUUAUCAUGUCCCAAAUGUCAGCCAAGCUCCAGCCUAUAAAGCUUACAUGGGGACUGACUUUUCAAAUCAACUAUGAAGAGAUGCACUCUGUCGCAAGCCUGGGGUUCACUCUGUUGCCUUCUCAGGAACUAGGCUUUGUCACCUGUCGCGCUACUCAGGCGUCUAGUGACAUCCAACAAUAUGUCUAA
rnacentral:rRNA from 1 species